UCUGCUACCUUCACACUGAUGCACAUAAAAUAAAGCUAGAUAAAUUAUUAAAAUUAUAUUUAAAAAAAUAAGGGGUUGGGGAUUUAGCUCAAUGGUAGAGCGCUUGCCUAGCAAGCACAAGGCCCUGGGUUCAGUCCUCGGCUCCAAAUUAAAAAAUAAAUAAAUAAAUAAAAAUAAAAGAAAAGGAAUGUAGAUACAGGAGACUACCUGGAAGUUAUAUAAAAUUAAGGGACAGUGUAAGAAUAAAAGCAACAUGUCACCUAAAGACAAUUUAAGUAUGUUUCUUUUACAAUUAGAUUCUUUCCCAUCUCUUUCUCGUCCCUUCUUUUCUUAAACAGGUAACUGGGGCUGGCCUCAACUGUAGGAAUAGAAGGAAGCACACAAGUGAAUGAAUGUCUCUUUAGUACAGGACAUUUUCAACAGUUCUUCUUGCUCAUAACCAUUUUUGGUUCCUUAUCCUACUGGAGUUUGUAUGUGACUACUUGUGAACAUGAUUCGGUGUUGCAGACACAAAAGAACCACCAGUCUCUGUUCUGGAUUUGGUUAGUGUUAGAGUCCAAGAGAAGCCCCCAAGAAAGACCAACAGUCACGUAUGCAGUUUAGCAAGAGCAUUUAUUUCCAGCAUGUUGGGGUGGCAUAUAGUGACCCUGAAGGGAGGUUGCAAGCUCCUUUUAAGCAAAGCUAGGGGAAUUCCAGGGAGGAGGGAUUAAUCUGGUGCUGAUUGGUGGAGGAAAGACUAGUCUGGGGUCUGAUUGGUGGGAGGUGGUAGUGGUUAGGGGCCCACUGGUGAUGAGGGUCUAGUGUCUCGGGGCUUGUUGACAAGAGGGUAGAAAAAGCUGUCUUUAGCUAGCAGAAGUCUGGUGGGCAUCUGCUGAGCCGGCAGGAGGUUGUGGGGGGCACCUGUUGAUAGUUGCCCCUAAGUUGUGGUUUUCCUGAGAAUUGCUUGCUCAGCUCCAGCCCUUUCUAGUAAACCAAAACUAAGGCCUGGUCCAUGUCAGGGCUACUAGGGGAGCCUGUUAUGGCCCUGGUUUGGCCACCUGGUUCUCUCAGUCAGUAGGACACAGGAACUCUUUGUGCGUGGCUGUCCCAACCUGUAGAACAUUUAGUGUCCUGACAGUUCUAGUUCAUAAGGCCAGCAGCACCGACUGUCAUUUUGACCACCAGUGAAUGCUUCCUAGGGAGCAGCAGUGGCCUUUGACUAAAGCAGCGCUUGGCGCUGAUGAGACCACAGCUGUGUCCAACAGGAGGGAAGAGGCAAGCAUCAUGGAGGGUGAGUGUGUCUACAGGUCACUAGACAGGACCUGUGAGCACAGGCCUUCCUGUUGAAUUCACUGGAUGCUUACAUUUGUAAAGUGGUUUUUUUUUUGUUUUUUGUUUGUUUGUUUGUUUGUUUGUUUUUUGAGCUGAGGAUCGAACCCAGGGCCUUGCACUUGCUAGGCAAGCACUCUUCCACUGAGCUAAAUCCCCAACCUACAUUUGUAAAGCUUUGAUGGCUAGAUAUUUAUAUGUUCUUAUGUGGGCUGUUAUUAAUCAUAGCAUUGCGCUAUUCUAGUUAAGGAAUGAUAAAUAAAGCUGCAAGUUUUCUUCUUGGUAUACAUUAACAAAAUGAUUCUCGAAUUUCACUACUUGUCAGAAGCACCUGGGAGCUUGUUAAAAUGUGCUCCUAGGCUCCGGCCCUAGGCUUGUUGAUGGAGGAGGUUUGGGACAGGUCUCUGCGUCCAUGAUUCUGAAUGGCAAUGCUGCUACCGAACUGGGAUGCAUAAGUCAAGAGCUUUAUAAUCAACAAUCUCUUUAUACUUUUCCUGUGUUUUAGGGAGUAAUGGACCACAGAAGUUCUGCAUCGAGAAAGUUGGGAAAGAAAAUUGGUUACCCAGAAGCCAUACUUGUUUUAACCGCCUGGACCUCCCACCCUACAAGAGCUAUGAGCAACUGAAGGAAAAACUGUUAUUUGCCAUUGAAGAAACAGAAGGAUUUGGACAAGAGUAACUGUUGAGACCUUAGGCCACCAGAGAACAGGGACUCGUCUCCAGUGCCUGCCCCUUCCUUCUCUGCCUGUUGCACAUCUUAUUGUAAACUUGGACUGUGACUAGAGAGUUAUCCAAGUGUAAGUAGCUUAAUGUUACCGUUGAGAUUUAUCUUCCAGUGAUUCUGGAUUUCUACUCAACGUUUCCAGAAAGCCGAUCUACAAAACAGUAGUCAGAAACUUACUUAACACGAGAUUUAACACAGCGAUGAAAUCUCCAUUGUCUUAUUCCACUAGAUUGUUCCCUUAACAACAGUUUUCUGUGUGUGUCAAAGUCUCACUUGGGAGUAGGUCUCUUGGUGGCUGUUGUCAAGACUCUGCAGACACACUGGGACGACUCCAAAACUGCAAUACACAAGGUCUUCCUGGUAAAGCCUCUAGCUAGGAGGUGCUCGCCAAGAGUGCAAGCUCGGCGGUGGCUGCUGCGGCUGCGGCGGCGGCGGCGGCACUUGGGCAACUGCUGCUUGUGCUCUCCCUCAUUUCCGCCUGGCCUGACUGUUGACUUCUUCCCUGGAGCAGGAACCAGUGCGUCGUUCUGAUGUGACUUCUGGACGUGACGCAGGACUCACAGCUUCUACAAAGUAGAUUUGUCUAUUCGAUUCAGGGAAAACUUGCUCCCCGCCAACCUAUGACUUCAUACCUCUCUUCAUUCAGUUGAUAAUUAUUUUAUUGCCUUGCAAAUACUAAACUUUACAAACAGAAUCAGCACUGUGGUUCCUUCAUGUUUUAGAAGUUAACCCCAAAUCAAAAUUAAAUUGGCUGAAUUCAUCUAUGAUCAUUCUUGAUUUUUAAAUCCUACAUGUAAAUUAAAGCUUUAUGGUUUUAUUAUAAUCCAAAACCCCAGUUACAUUGGAUUAUUGCUAAGGUAUUCAAGUUGCAACCAUUUCUAAUCCAAAUCGAGGUCAUUGGUGCAGUCUUUGAAAUCAGGACAAUAUCAGCAAAAGGACAAUGUCCAGCGGCACAUUUGGGCCGUCGUCUCGUGCCUGGCACACACAGGAGCAGGCGUUUCCAUCUUAUUACAUGGUCCUGAUCUGCAAUAUUUUUCUCACCCCUAAAAAUUUUAGAUUUUCCUUUUUUCUUUUUUCUUCAUGACUCACUUACUUUAGACUGCUCCUUUAGUAACUGAUGAAUGCACUUUGACUUUCUCUGUAGUUAAUUUACCUUGACUUAGUUAGACUGUCAAGAUGGCUGCCGCCAUAGAUACGACUUUAUGGGCAGAGAAAUGAAGCCUCCGCCAAUUGAGUCCCUAUUAUAGCCAAAUCCCAAAACAGCCUUAUAACUCACAGGGACUUUGUGUCGAUAGCAUAGCAUGAACAUGUAGCAUGAAGCCAAGAACACACCGAGAGUGACAGCCCUGUUCCACAGGAGAGAAGGUGUUCCUCUGUCCCUCGCUGCAGUUCUUGCUCAUCCGAGAACAACAAGGUUCUGAACGUGUGCAACUGUACUCUUUACCACUGCCAUGGCCAGUAGAGACACGUGGGACUGAGAACGGGUUCCCUAUCUAGAGACGCUCAGGGAAGGGAAAGCUCAGCUUCUCCCAGCCCUCUUUUUACCCUGGAUACCACAGGAAAUACAUGUCAUCUCUAGAAGCCCUAGUUAUUUCCAAAGUAGGAACUCUCUGCCUUUUUGUUGGUAGGGUUAAAAAUAGAUAUGCUAUUGCUUUGUCUUACAGAGUGAAUGUCUGCCAACUACCCAUUCACUACAUAGGCCUGGACUUUAAUACAUGGCUAUAAGUACUAAGCCUUCUACAAAGACCUCCUAUUGGAUCAAAUUCUUGUACUAAAGUGUAGUCAUCUGCCAUAUCCACUAGAGAUGGAUGAGAUUAAAUUAAGAGAUAAUGUAAGAGAAUAGGCUUUGUUGGUUCUGCAUUCUGCUUCAUGAUUCAUUUAGGGACCUAGAGAUAUUAUGUGAAAAUGUAUAAAUAUCACCCAAAAGGCUUUCUGCCCUAUAUUUUUAAAAAUACAGAAGUUAUAUUUGAAGUAGUCCUGGCCCUAGUUCUAUAGGGCCUGGCUAUUUAAUAUUUUUAUGGAAGAAAUGUUUAGUUCUGGAAAAGGUAAAUGCUUGUAUAUAUUUUUGCAGCCCUGGGGUCUCACAGCUCCAUUCCCCCUUUAAUUUAAUUGGUCAUAUGUAUAUGUCUUCCCUGCUGUGUUAGGAAAAUGGGGGCUGGAUAUCCCAAGAAUCAGAGAUUAUAUAAAAUAAUGCAACUAAACAGCAGACAUAAAUAUUUACCAAAUGCUCUCACAUUUUGGUUCAAAGUGAGUAUUUGGAAAUAGAUUUGUGUUUAAUUAGUGCUUUUCCUUAAAUCUGAACUAAGUUGCUUUUAAGACCUUUUUCUCUGUAAGCAUUGUAAAUGCUAAUCAAUCCUGUUGGUUUUUUUUUUUUUUUUCCCUUACUGCAUGUUACAUUGAAAUAAAAACAGAGUAAAAUGAG